AAAAUGGCAACCCACUCCAGUAUUGUUGCCUGGAAAAUCCCAUUGUUGGCGGAGCCUGGGAGGCUGCAGUCCAUGGGGUCGCAAAGAGUCGGACAUGACUGAGCGGCUUCACUUCACUUCAACCUCUGACUUGGGAAAAAGAAAAGUAAGAAGGAACUGAAGUAUGGGAAUCUUUUCAACUGUUACAGUGCUUCAAGGCAUAUUUAUUUUCCAUUCUUUCACAAAGGAUGCGGUAUUGGAUGCUACUGUGCACCACCAACGUUUGCUUCUAGAACCAACUUACCUACAUUGAUUGGAAUUUUGGAUGCUGACCAUUCACAGCUGCAUUCUUUAGGCAUUGCCCCUGGCUCAAGAAAGCUGCCUCACCCACAAUGCUGCCCUCUUCCUGGGCUGCAGCACACAUUCAGCGUCUGGGUCCUGCAGGGUACAAAGGCUUGUCCUGCUUACUUCAUUUCAAGACGUCUCUAAAGGGCCAUUCCGCCUUCACAAGUGGAUUUGUGGAAUCCACUGAGGCUGUACUUGUCAUUCACAAAGCACCUUCCCUUUUCACAUGUCCUUGAUUAGUGAUAAUCCUCAUAACCAAUGAAAUAUUUUGCUGCUAAAACUCAAGUGUCAAGACACUUGACUACAUGCUAGGAAAAGCAAAAUUAUGAACAGGUUUCUGACUUCAAAGAUUUUAACUUUCAGAAAUGAUCAAUGACUACAAAGUAUCUCACAAGGCUGUAUGGCCUAAGUGUGAAGGUACUGAGUCAUUCAGUCAUCAAACUUUAAACACCUGGAGGUACUUUGUACAGCUGCGUGGAGGUCGUUAAGCAGUGGGCCCUGCCGCUAAGGAUUUCAGUGGGUUCUGGGGAAGAAAGUUGAUGUAUUUAUUGGCUGCACUGGAUCUUUAUUGCUGUGCGCGGACUUUCUCUAGUUGUGGAGAGCAGGGGCCACCCUCUAGUUGCUUCUCAUUGCACCGGCUUCUCUGUUGCAGGGCAGGGGCUUUAGGGCAUGCGGGCUUCAGUAGCGCUGCACAUGUGCUCAGGAGCUGUGGCUCACGGCUCCAGAGCGCAGGCGUAGUUGUGGGGCAUUGGCUUAAGCCGUUCAGGUGGCAUGUAGGAUCUUCCCCAAGCAGGGAUGAAACCCCUGCAUCGCAAGGCUGAUGCUUAACCACUGGACCACCAGGCUGGUGCUUCCCUCCUGCCCCCUCAUGCCCUAGCCCUUUGUGAAAUAAUUAAUUACCUUUUCUGAUUCAACUCAAGUUCUUUUUCUGCAGUGAGGAUGUACAUAAACAAAUCGAGCCUCCAUGAGGAAACUUACCAGAGAAACUACAGGGAGGCUCCAUUGUUGAAGGAAUAGCGUAAAGGCAGGGAAUGGAAGGGCGGUUCCUCACAAUUGUUCCUAAUAGCAGCAAAAGAGGGUAUUUAACAAGAAAUGAGAGUCGAAAGUGAGAAGAAGCCUGAAGCAAAGGGUACAUCUAAUAUGUCUAGAAGUCUCAGUGACUCUACCUUCAAAAUAUAUACAAAAUUCAGGAAGUUCCUCAGACAAAAAGAAUUAUGAGACCAAGCAUAAACCUGUAUCCACAUCAAGAAGUGAAGAGUAUGGGAAAUGGACUAAGGCAAGGGGGAGCUGUUAUAGCAAGUGUUGAUCAGAAUAUAGAAGAUCGUGCUGCUUUUUAGAAGUAUAAAGUGCUCUGCAGAAAACAGAACAGGUGAAAUCUUAUUUUUUUUUUAAAAAAAAUGGAACUGCUAUGUUUGACUGACUUAAGGAUAAAGAACAGAACUCUGGAAAUAAUGAAGAAGACACCACAUAGAGGGAAAAAGUGUUUUAAAGAACUCAUGAAUUGAGUGAAUCAGAAAGAGAAGUAACUAAAAAUGAAUUGACAAUGCUGGAGAAAACUUUGAAUUUUUUUGGAAGCAUUGUAAUUCAAACAUUAGUCAAACUACACACUGAUCUUAACCUUUUCACAACUGGAAAUGAUGUUCAGAUGUGUGAGCAGUGAAGCAGGGAGAGAGUGAGGGAAAUAAAGAACUUUGUAAAAGAUGAUUUUUUUAUGUAGUAUUUGAUUCGUAGUAAAAUUAUAAUCUUCAAGAAUCUCUGGAAGAAGACUGGUUGAUUUAUAAAAUUGUAUUUAUUUUAAUAUUGAAUUAGAGGAUUAUAUUUAUUCAAAAGCUUCACAUUGCAUCCAAGAGCAUAGUUAGGACCAGGCUGUCCACGGAUAGCUUUUUAAAGGAAUUGGACUGAUUUGUGAUUUGCAAUUAUUGGUCUAUCAUGAACACUAUUGAACUGUUUCAUUGUUGGAGUAAAAAGUCUAGGUUCUUUAUCUUAGUGUUUCAUCUUACCACAUUCAUAUACUUAGUAAAUUCAACUAUAGAUUUAUGGCAAUAGAACUAGAAUUUAAUGAAGCAGGGUUUGCUGGUCAUCAGAUUUUGCUUCACUUGAGUCUAUUAGAUCUUGAAUCUGUUAAUUUAGUGUGUGUAAACUUGGAUAA